UUAUAUUCAAAUAUUAAGAAUUAACAAUAAUUUAAUAGAUUAGUGGGCGUUUGGACAUAAGAAUUAUGAAAUUCAUCUGCAAGUAAAAUUUGAAAUUUACAUGGCCAACCACCGAUUUUGAAACAAAGUAAAUAUUUCCGAUAAAGAGUAAAAAAAUUUUAUGGCCAAACAGACCCUUAGUUAUCUUCUCCUGCGUCCUGAUUCUAACUAGUUGCAUCAAUAUUAUGAACGUUAUUUGGCUAAUAGUUUGCAUAAUAUUCUAGUAUAUUGGUCAUUUUUAUAAGAAAUAUCGAAUAGAGAAAGUCAAAAAUCAAAAUAAAGAUAAAGUUAGAUUAUAGAACUUUAGGAGCAAAAACCAAGAGAUAUUUAAGUUUGGAUGGUUAUGUGACACUAUUACUAUUCGAGGAGUUAAACUGUAUUUUCUUUUACUUUAAUUUCUCAAGCUUUUUUUUUUUCGAAUAUACUUUGAUUAUUAACUAUCUUAGAAAAUUUUAAUUCCAUAGUUUUCAAAUUGUGUAAAUUUUAUUAAAAAAUAAAAUAAAAUAAAAUUGAAGGACCAGUAAUGGUUCUAAUUAAUAAUGAUAUGGCUUGUAUAGUAAAGAGAUACUUACAUAAUUGUUUCGGGGUUCCAAAGGAUGGAGUAGGUAUGAAAAGCAGCAGUUGGAUCAAACCAUAAAUAGAACUGCUGUUCUUUGUCACCUUUGCCUUGAGUGUAAACAUUUGUGUGAAUAAUAUAAGGAUCGCCACUAAGAUUUCCCAAGAAUUCAAAAUCUAUCUCAUCAUGUGUUGCUCCUUGUGAUGAUAACUGCAUAGAAAAUUAAAUUAAAGUAAGAUCUUAGUAAUCAUAUGAUAUAAAAAUAAGAAGAAAAAUUACCAUAUAUAUGAUGGUAAUUCUUGGUGUACAUUAAAUGACAACAUCACCAAUAACUACGUUAUAUAAGGCAAUCGGGUACAUAAAGUUUUUUGCAUUAAUUCACGCAGAAUUCGAAAAAAGAGUCAUACUUCAAGGGUAUAAUAUCGACAGUCUUCCCUGAUGCAAGCAUUAAUGGUUGCUUCUACGACUCCAACCCGUGACCUAUAGGUCACACGGAGAUAAUUUUACCGUUUCGCAGCCCGGUACAUAAAGACUCUCGUAUUCAUACAGGGUCCAGGGAAGGGUCUCACUCGAAAGGUACGAUAUAAACAAUCUACCCUAAUGCAAGCACUAGUAGCCGCUUUCAUGACUCGAACACAUAAUCUAUAAGUCACACGAAGACAACUUACUGUUGCUCCAGUACUUCCCUCCAACAACAACAACAACAACAAUUACCCAGUCUAUUCCCACCAAGUGGGGUCUGAGUAGGAUAAUAUGUAGACGAGCCUUACCCCUACCCGAAAGGGCAGAGAGGCUGUUUCUAGUACUUCCCUCCCCGUUCAAUAAAUAUGAUAAUAACACUUACAUAAUAUGUUGUAACAGUGCCAGCU
rnacentral:lncRNA from 1 species